rnacentral:rRNA from 1 species
GAUGAACGCUGGCGGCGUGCCUAAUACAUGCAAGUCGAGCCAACAGACGAGGAGCUUGCUCCUCUGACGUUCGCGGCGGAAGGGUGAGUCACCCGUGGAUAACCUACCUAUAAGACUGGGUUAAACUCGGGAAACCGGAGCUACUACCGGCUAAUCUAUUGAACCGCAUGGUUCAAUAGUGAAAGACGCUUUUUCUGUCUCUUAUAGAUGGAUCCGCACCGCAUUAGCUAGUUGGUGAGGUAACGGCUUACCAAGGCAACGAUUCGUAGCUGACCUGAACGGGUGAUAAGCCACACUGGAACUCAGACAGGGUCCAGGCUCCUACGGGAGGCAGCAGUGAGGAAUAUGCCGCCAUGGGCGAAAGCCUGACGGAGCAAAGUCAUGUGAGUUAUGAAGGUCUUCGGAUCGUAAAACUCUGUUAUUAGGGAAGAAGAAAUGUGGAAGUAACUAUGCACGUCUUGACGGUACCUGAUCAGAAAGCCACCGCUAACUACGUG